AUUUCGCAUUAAUUUGCCACAUUUUGUGUUCGACUAUUGAGUUGUGGAGUACCUAUUUAAGGAAUUAAAGUCUUUACAAGAGUUUAGACCUCUUGGGAGUUUCAAAUAGUUUGUCCCAAACCCAAUGGCCAGCUUAAAAAGAAGUCAUGGCAUUAUGAGUCCUCUAACACAGACAAAUAUUUUUGAAUUGGAAUGAAAUUGGGCCGAAUAGAUUGGCAAUGAUGUAAAUGAUUCAUAUAGCCAAUAAGUUUGGGAUUGAAGUGUAAUUGGUUCACAAGAGUUUGAUCUCAUGGCCUUCAAGCCCAACAUCUUGGUGAGAUGUGCAUUGUGAACACAAUUUCAGAUCGUUAAUUCCACAUACUUAUAAAACCAUUCCUUCGAGGAUAUUAAAUGAAAAUGGUAUUAGGCAAGUUUACACAGUUAUGGUGUUUAGCGUGGUUCUGAGCUCAUUCAUUACAUUUCGGCUGCUCUCUAGUUUAAAAGUUGAACCUGUAGUUUUGUGGGUACUGUUAAAGUUGAGUUACAUUAAUCCCUCUGCCGGAAAAGUUAAUGUGCCAUCUUGUGCUCAACUUUUAAGUUGUCUCUCUAUUUGUCAAUUGCAACUGGUAACUAACUGAUCAAGAAUAGAACUUCACGUCAUGAAUUCUUACUUAUAAAGCCUUUCUAAGAAGUAUAUCUAACAGAAUUGUUAUUUGGAAUUUGGUUCCAGAUUUCUAUACAUUUUGGAACAUAAAUAAUAUGACCUUUACUAAAUGAUGUAGUGCAACUUGAAUGGUGAUUAUUCAUAGAUCAAAUGGAGAUGUUUUAGUUUUUUUCCCCUAAAACGCCAAUGAAAGCUUGUAGGUUUCACAAUGCAGGAAUUUCUAAUCUAAAGUGUUUGAACUAUCAUCGGAAGAGGGUAUUGGAAUUUGCAACACUAAGAACCCCUAAAUUUUCUGAAAGUUCAAGCUAUUUCAAGGAAGCAAACAAGAAAUGGAUCAAGCUCUGGAUUCAUAUAGGGGGCAAAUUGAAGCUCUAAUGCGUGCAAUGUCCGUAGCAAAAAUCAUAAGAGAGGAUAAGGAUCCUUGUAUGAUUGAAGAGGGUCUCUAUUUAGGGUCCUUUGGAGCUGCCAACAGUAAAGAUGCACUCAAAAGCUUGAAUAUAACUCAUAUUUUGACGAUUGCCAGAGAUUUAAAUCCGUCUUAUCCAAAUGAAUUUGUGUACAAAGUCCUUACUGUUCACGACAGAGAUGAUGUAAAUAUUUCUCAUUACUUUGAGGAAUGCUUCGAUUUCAUUGAAAAAGCAAAAGGAAAAAUUGAAGAAGCAAAAGGACAGGGUGGCGGUGUGUUGGUGCAUUGCUUUGCAGGCAAAUCCAGAAGUGCAACCAUAGUCAUCGCUUAUCUGAUGAAAAAGCAUGGUGUGAGCCUGUCUGAAGCUUUUCAGCUUGUUAAGAGUAAAAGACCAGUUAUUUCUCCCAAUGCUGGUUUUAUGAUUCAGCUGCAAAAUUAUGAUAAAACCCUUAAAGAUGUAUUAGGUUUGGUUAAUCCCCUACUUGACGACACAAGGGUGAAAUCAUUGGAGUUGACAAGAUCUAGGCAUUCUACCUUCUUCUGAAAAAUGGACAUUCUUCAUGCUACAUGAGUUUUGCCUAAAGAAGUAGCAGUAGCAGAUAACUUGUCUUCUAGGCAUAAGUAGGUUGAACGCAGUAGUAAGUCUGCCCAAUGGAAUGAAGGGACAAAUCUGCAGUUCUGGUCUUGAUUAUGUGAUUAGAUCUGAGUGCUCCAAAUGUACAUGAGGAAACUGGGUCAUUACUCUCCUAGUCUGAUGCAGUUUGAUCCAUUCUGUAGCCGCCAUUAAAGUUACGCUGUGAUGAAAAGUACACAGCGCGAUAUCUUGUUAAUUGAAUUUAACAGUAAGAAUUGUUUGAUAAACAAUGAUAAUGAAUUGAUAAUUCCAUUGAGAAAGCUACUCUGCCUAGGCAUACUGCUUGAAGAUAUUCUUUCAUCAUGGAGAAUUUUUAAAUUUUGUUUAUGUUAGCAUAUAUUUCCUUCA